rnacentral:lncRNA from 1 species
GUUUGCUCAUUGUUGCCGUUGUUGUUGUUGUUGUUGAAUUGGCGUUGUUUGAUUAUUCAAAAAUACAGGAAUGACUGAAGAUACUUGAUGAUGGUGUUAACAGGGUGGUUUAUUUCUUCUAAUCCGAGGCCUCCUCUGCCUCCCACUGAUUACUGCAUUAGCUUCGCUGUCUUUCUUCUUCACAAACCUAUUGUCGUACCUCUUACUUGACGAUGCUUCAUCUUUUGAUAAAGGUCCUUCUCGAACACCUUCCUG